CUGGAUGAACGCUAGCUACAGGCUUAACACAUGCAAGUCGAGGGGCAGCAUGGUCUUAGCUUGCUAAGGCCGAUGGCGACCGGCGCACGGGUGAGUAACACGUAUCCAACCUGCCGUCUACUCUUGGACAGCCUUCUGAAAGGAAGAUUAAUACUAGAUGGCAUCAUGAGUCCGCAUGUUCACAUGAUUAAAGGUAUUCCGGUAGACGAUGGGGAUGCGUUCCAUUAGAUAGUAGGCGGGGUAACGGCCCACCUAGUCUUCGAUGGAUAGGGGUUCUGAGAGGAAGGUCCCCCACAUUGGAACUGAGACACGGUCCAAACUCCUACGGGAGGCAGCAGUGAGGAAUAUUGGUCAAUGGGCGAGAGCCUGAAUCAGCCAAGUAGCGUGAAGGAUGACUGCCCUAUGGGUUGUAAACUUCUUUUAUAAAGGAAUAAAGUCGGGUAUGCAUACCCGUUUGCAUGUACUUUAUGAAUAAGGAUCGGCUAACUCCGUGCCAGCAGCCGCGGUAAUACGGAGGAUCCGAGCGUUAUCCGGAUUUAUUGGGUUUAAAGGGAGCGUAGAUGGAUGUUUAAGUCAGUUGUGAAAGUUUGCGGCUCAACCGUAAAAUUGCAGUUGAUACUGGAUAUCUUGAGUGCAGUUGAGGCAGGCGGAAUUCGUGGUGUAGCGGUGAAAUGCUUAGAUAUCACGAAGAACUCCGAUUGCGAAGGCAGCCUGCUAAGCUGCAACUGACAUUGAGGCUCGAAAGUGUGGGUAUCAAACAGGAUUAGAUACCCUGGUAGUCCACACGGUAAACGAUGAAUACUCGCUGUUUGCGAUAUACGGCAAGCGGCCAAGCGAAAGCGUUAAGUAUUCCACCUGGGGAGUACGCCGGCAACGGUGAAACUCAAAGGAAUUGACGGGGGCCCGCACAAGCGGAGGAACAUGUGGUUUAAUUCGAUGAUACGCGAGGAACCUUACCCGGGCUUAAAUUGCAGAUGAAUUACGGUGAAAGCCGUAAGCCGCAAGGCAUCUGUGAAGGUGCUGCAUGGUUGUCGUCAGCUCGUGCCGUGAGGUGUCGGCUUAAGUGCCAUAACGAGCGCGACCCUUGUUGUCAGUUACUAACAGGUUCCGCUGAGGACUCUGACAAGACUGCCAUCGUAAGAUGUGAGGAAGGCGGGGAUGACGUCAAAUCAGCACGGCCCUUACGUCCGGGGCUACACACGUGUUACAAUGGGGGGUACAGAGGGCCGCUACCACGCGAGUGGAUGCCAAUCCCCAAAACCUCUCUCAGUUCGGACUGGAGUCUGCAACCCGACUCCACGAAGCUGGAUUCGCUAGUAAUCGCGCAUCAGCCACGGCGCGGUGAAUACGUUCCCGGGCCUUGUACACACCGCCCGUCAAGCCAUGGGAGCCGGGGGUACCUGAAGUGCGUAACCGCGAGGAGCGCCCUAGGGUAAAACUGGUGAC
rnacentral:rRNA from 1 species